GCCGGGCGCGGUGGCGCGUGCCUGUAGUGCCAGCUACUCACGAGGCUGAGGCUGGAGGAUCACUUGAGCCCAGGAGUUCUGGGCUGUAGUGCGCUAUGCCGAUCAGGUGUCUGCACUAAGUCCGGCAUCAAUAUGGUUGACCUCCCGGGAGUGGGGGACCACCAGGUUGCCCUAAGGAGGGUGAACCAGCCCAGGUUGGAAAUGGAGCAGUCCAAACUCCAGUUGCUGAUCAGUGGUGGGAUCGCACCUGUGAAUAGCCACUGCACUCCAGGCUGGCCAACAUAGACUCGUCUCUU
rnacentral:SRP_RNA from 1 species